CUUACACAUGCAAGUCGAACGGCAGCGCGGGGCAACCUGGCGGCGAGUGGCGAACGGGUGAGUAAUAUAUCGGAACGUGCCCUGGAGUGGGGGAUAACGCAGCGAAGGUUGCGCUAAUACCGCAUACGAUCUAAGGAUGAAAGCGGGGGAUUCGCAAGAACCUCGUGCUCCUGGAGCGGCCGAUAUCUGAUUAGCUAGUUGGUGGGGUAAAGGCCUACCAAGGCAUCGAUCAGUAGCUGGUCUGAGAGGACGACCAGCCACACUGGAACUGAGACACGGUCCAGACUCCUACGGGAGGCAGCAGUGGGGAAUUUUGGACAAUGGGCGAAAGCCUGAUCCAGCAAUGCCGCGUGAGUGAAGAAGGCCUUCGGGUUGUAAAGCUCUUUUGUCAGGGAAGAAACGGUGAAGGCUAAUAUCCUUUGCUAAUGACGGUACCUGAAGAAUAAGCACCGGCUAACUACGUGCCAGCAGCCGCGGUAAUACGUAGGGUGCAAGCGUUAAUCGGAAUUACUGGGCGUAAAGCGUGCGCAGGCGGUUUUGUAAGUCUGUCGUGAAAUCCCCGGGCUCAACCUGGGAAUUGCGAUGGAGACUGCAAGGCUAGAAUCUGGCAGAGGGGGGUAGAAUUCCACGUGUAGCAGUGAAAUGCGUAGAGAUGUGGAGGAACACCGAUGGCGAAGGCA
rnacentral:rRNA from 1 species